rnacentral:rRNA from 1 species
GAUGAACGCUAGCGACAGGCUUAACACAUGCAAGUCGAGGGGCAUCACGGGAGUAGCAAUACAACUGGUGGCGACCGGCGCACGGGUGAGUAACGCGUAUGCAACCUACCUAUCAGAGGGGAAUAACCCGGCGAAAGUCGGACUAAUACCGCAUAAAACAGGGGCACCGCAUGGUGAUAUUUGUUAAAGAAAUUCGCUGAUAGAUGGGCAUGCGUUCCAUUAGGUAGUUGGUGAGGUAACGGCUCACCAAGCCGACGAUGGAUAGGGGAACUGAGAGGUUGGUCCCCCAGACUGGUACUGAGACACGGACCAGACUCCUACGGGAGGCAGCAGUGAGGAAUAUUGGUCAAUGGGCGGGAGCCUGAACCAGCCAAGUCGCGUGAAGGAAGAAGGAUCUAUGGUUCGUAAACUUCUUUUGCAGGGGAAUAAAGUGCAGGACGUGUCCUGUUUUGUAUGUACCCUGAGAAUAAGGAUCGGCUAACUCCGUGCCAGCCGCCGCGGUAAGAC